CAAUAUCACCAGAACCCUGGAAAGAGCCUUUCCUUUUAAAAGAGAGCUGCUUGAGAGCUGUCAAGGACUUCCCAACUUUGAAGUUGCAUUUGGGGCACAACAGAAUUACCAAGUACCAGAACAAGAAAACCCACAAAGCAGGAGUCCAGAGCUGCCAGGUUUGUAUCCAGUUCAAGUGACAGACACCAUAUGUGUACUAGCUAGUAGCCCUCACCGCCUGUAUGUGCAGCCUCUCAAGUGAGCGCAGAGCUCCCUCUCCAUGCUAUGCGCUGUCUUCACUGAAGUUAGAGGCUGCAGUUCCUAUUACUCAUCAGGCUGAACUUCAGCCUCAGAUUUGAAGUGUCUAUGAGUACUUCAGAAGAUGAAGCUCCCAAUAUAGUCAACACAAAGACAGAAAUGCUGCUUCUGAGAGCAAUUCAGGACUCUGAAGUUAGGAUCUGUCUCUGGACCUGAAAUUUAGCUGUCCAAAGAAGACACUGCUCAUUACCAAUGGCCAAGCAGGACCUUCUGUGAGUCCAGAUGGAAAUGCAGAACUGGAAUCUAUGUCC